UGUAGAUCCAUAUGCCAUGGUGUG
rnacentral:miRNA from 1 species